GAAGAAAAAGAAAGGAAGAGAGAGAGAGAAGAGGGGAGGGGACUUUAACUGGACUUGGCAAGUAAUAAGUCCAGAACAGGAUACCAGCCUGGCUCCACACGCUGCUUGUCUCUACUUAGGAUAGUUGCAAAGGUUUCACUCGCUGUGUAGGUUCUGGAAAUUUUGUCCAUGUCUUUUUAGAGGUGGGGAGGGCCUUUAUGCUGAUAGCAGAACAUUCAUUCAAAAAACACUUCCUGGACGUCUACUAACUAUAAGCCAUAGUAAAAGGUGCAAAUAUGUGUGAUCCUUCACCCCGCCUUCAGGAAUUUGCUGUCCUCAACCAACACCAAAAGCAUGGGGUGGGGCAGCCAAGGCACAGGAAGGCGGGUGAGGUGGGGUAGAUCCCAUUAGCGGUACAGGUGACCUGCUGUGGUUCUGCGUAUUGAGGGGUGUGGGGACUUUCAGGAAGAUCUGAGUCUUGGGGAAGCGUAGGAUUUGGGUGGAUGAAAAUAAAGGGAAGGGCUGUUGGGAGCAGUGUAGGGGCUGAGUCAGGGGAGUGGGCUGAUAAAGCCCAAGGAGGAGCAACUUCCCUCCUUCUCCUCAGGGUUACCCAUGUCUGAUUGCCUUUUCCUUAUGACUGGUGACUUUCUCUGCCCUGAAGUUCACUGCCUUGCAGAGAAAUUGCACAGGAGCCAGAAGAGAGGCCUGACACUCAGGUGGGGUGCCCUGGACUCCCGUCUUCCUGGGUGCUCAGACGCAGAACGCCAGAAUGCAGUCCUUGGAUGACAGUCCUGCUUGUUGAAAUUUUAUGACACAAUGAACCAACUGUGAUGUGACUAAUCAGCUGAGAGCUUGGAUCUGGGCUUGGUUGACACACAGAUUUGCUGGCCUGAGAGAUUAAUUAAAUUCCUUGCAGUUGACAAACUGGGACUCUAGUGCUUUCUGUCUAAUUACGAUGACACAGCCAGAGCCCACCACCAAGUGUUGACAUUUCCCCAGGGCCGGCAUAGCAGUGCAUGCUUGGCCUCACAGCUCUUUAUUUCCAGAGCCUGGCACAAGAUACACAUGUCUGUUGAACUGUGUGGACUGCAUUGACAGUUUGAUGUGUGAGGUCUGUUCCACUGGGGAGGAGGGGGACAAAGUGAAUUAUAAGCGAGAGCUCGGUGGUGAGCACCCUUCCAACCAGAAGCAGCUGUUGUAGAAAUAAAUGAUGGGUAAUUCCUGGUGGUUCCGUUGGUCUUCAGGGGAAGCCACUGAAGAGCUUCAACUUGGGGAUCCUAUGGAAUCCUUUUCCCGGAUGCUCUCCCAUCAGAUGAACUGGAGCACUUCCGGAGCCGGAGAGUGAAGACUCCACCUUCGUUACUCUCCGCCUUGUUGAAGACUGAGGGAUGUAGAGGUCCCAGGGUGGAGGGAGGUGGACACACGUGCUACAGUUGACAGAAUCGUUGUCCUGGUGUUGGUAGGGACCCUCCUGAUAACCAGAUCUCUGGGGUGAAUGAAGUGCGAAUCAGCUCAUUCUGCCCUGGGUGAGAACUUAAACACAGCUUGUUUCAGAGAAGGGUGGCAAAGAGAGGGCCGUCUCCCUGUCCCUUACCAGGUGACAGUAUAAAGCCCUGUCCCUUGCCAGCGAAGCCCUCCCUGGCCUGACUGCAUGCUCUCUGGGACCUCGGUCACAGGAGCCUUCCCUCUGCUCCACAUUGAUUUAGUCUGGGAUCUACGCACACCCUGUGGUUUCCCUGGCUCCAACCCUAUGUUUUCUCCCCAUGAAAUCCUUCAGAACCCAGCGCUGUGCACACUUCCUUCAGGAAACCUUUUUCCACUCCAGCCCACAUGAAUGUCUUUUUUUUUUUUUCUGAACUUCCAUACAACACGGACAUAUAGAAAAUACUCUAGGACUUAAUUUUCCUGUCGUAUUUCCCUGACUUGAUUGAGGGUUACUUGAAGGCAGAAAGAAGGUUUGAUACCUUGUCAUUCCACCUGUCACACUUGAACAGAGCCGGAUGCAUCGUGACUUCUCGGCACUUCUUAUUUAUUCAUUUUUAUGGGCUUUUUUUAAAAACUCCUGCCACAUGCCAUUGUUAUAGGCCCUAGGAGGGGAAAUGGCAGGAAACAAGGCAGUUGCUGCCUCUUAGGUGUCUGUUCAUUUCAGCGCAUGAGGCAUGACUGGGAUUUUGAGGGAAAAUGAGUCUGCUGAGUAGUUUGCAUGGGCAGAACUGGUCCAGGCAGCAGGUCAGCAGCAAGGACUAAAGGGCCACAUGGUAGAUUUCAGAGCUGUGGGGAUUUACAAAAGGGUUUGAGCGAGCACCAAAUAUGAAGUUUAACAAGUCCUUGCGUAUUAAAAUGUAAACUUUCUGGUUCUUCUAGAUUCAGAUACAAACAAGACAUGUUGCAAGUGUAGGCACAUGUUCCAGGACCUGUUAUCUUCUCCAAUUUCCAUACCAGUCCUGUAGGCUCGGUACUGUUCACCUGACAGGCUUGUGCCUGAGAAGAUUCCGGGAAUAGCUCACUCUCCAAGUGACACGGUUUGCUUCAUUGGGAGAGCUGGGAAUUGGAUCUGUCUUCUAACUGAAAAGUCCAUGCUUGCCUUUGGCACUCCAUAGCUGCCUCUGACCCUGAUUUUGUUGUUCUCAUAAGAUUCCUAGGAGAUCGCUGCUGUUACUGUCAUAUCUGUUUCACAGAUUUUUUUAAAAAGCAAGGUGUGUACUGGCUUAACCUCUCCAGCAUCACACAGAGCCGGCAUUUGAACCCAAUUCCACCCGAUUCUGGUGCCUGUGCUUUGGACGGCUCUUAGUCACGCAGGGGGCUGCAUGGGAAACAGAAGGGCCUGUAGACAGCUGUUUGAGAAACACUGUGCACCCCACUCCUCUGGGCAAGUUUUAUUAAGAUACAAUU